UGCUUGUGUGUUUCUGUGAAGGGAUUGCCGACGUCAGUUACGAAGACUGCUACCUGGGCCUUUGGGAUUGCGCAGGCGACGAGGAAGACGAGCUGUCCUUCAAGCGUGGGGAUAUGAUUCACAUUCUAAGCAAGGGCUACGGCUCCUUCGGAUGGUGGGUUGGUGAACUGGACGGAGCCAUCGGCAUCGUCCCGAAGGAUUAUCUAAUGGCCGCCUUUGACAUCUGAAGGACUGCCACCUUGGCGAGCCGGCGACCCUCCCAGCAUCGGGAGGUGACCUCGGAAGAAGAUUACUGGCGUGAGGAAGCCCCCGUGGACCCCAGCCCCCCUGGCGGAGGGUGCCUGACCGCCUGCCCUGGCUGAAGUCGCGUAGCCGGGGACGCUUGCUUUCGCUCGAUCAAUAAAGAGGCACUUCGGCCCCAAGCCGGGGAUCACUGCGAUUGUUUCUGUGCGUGCACGGGGAGAGACAGAACGCUACGGGCCCUUCCGGGUCUUUGAACCGAGCUUCCACCGACUUAACCCUCACAACAACACAGAGCAUCGAACAGUACAGCGCAGCAACAGGCCAUUCGGCCCACAGUGUUGUGCUGUACCAGCAGAAAAGCAAAUCAAAGACACCCAAACACUAUUCCCUCCUCCCUACACCAUGUCCACAUCCCUCCAUCUCCCUCACGUCCAUGUGCCA